rnacentral:rRNA from 1 species
CCUACGGGAGGCAGCAGUGGGGGAUAUUGGACAAUGGGGGGAACCCUGAUCCAGCGACGCCGCGUGAGUGAAGAAGUAUUUCGGUAUGUAAAGCUCUGUCAGCAGGGAAGAAAGCAAUGACGGUACCUGACCAAGAAGCCCCGGCUAACUACGUGCCAGCAGCCGCGGUAAUCCGUAGGGGGCAAGCGUUAUCCGGAAUUACUGGGUGUAAAGGGAGCGUAGACGGCUGUGCAAGUCUGGAGUGAAAGGCGGGGGCACAACCCCCGGACUGCACUGGAAACUGUAUGGCUGGAGUGCAGGAGAGGUAAGCGGAAUUCCUAGUGUAGCGGUGAAAUGCGUAGAUAUUAGGAGGAACACCAGUGGCGAAGGCGGCUUACUGGACUGUAACUGACGUUGAGGCUCGAAAGCGUGGGGAGCAAACAGGAUUAGAUACCCGGGUAGUC